GAAAUACUCCCUCCGUCCGGAAAUACUUGUCGGAGAAAUGAAUAAAAAUUGAUAUAUCUAGAACUAAAAUAUGUCUAGAUACAUCCAUUUCACCGACAAGUAUUUUCGGAUGGAGGGAGUACUAC
rfam:Triticum aestivum genome assembly, contig: Triticum_aestivum_CS42_TGACv1_scaffold_471152_6AL